rnacentral:lncRNA from 1 species
AGGUGUUAACCUGCUGAGAUCUGAUGGUUUAAAAGUGUGUGGCUUCCUUCCUGCUCUCUUUCUCCUGCCACAUUGUGAAAAAGGUGCUUGCUUCUCCUUCACCUUCUGCUAUGAUACUAAGUUUCCUGAGGUCUCCCCAGCCAUGCAGAACUAUCAUGAGAUGAAGAAGGACAUAUGAAUAACACAACUCCUAAUAGGUGUUUGGAGCUGAGGUGAAAAGAGCCGCCAUGACAUUAGACUGGAAAAAGUAGAACCAAGUCCAACACAAGUAAACUAUGGCUUCUGUAUACGGAAGUGUUAUGCCCAGUUUCAGGUCUAUUUGAAGACAUCUUCUACGCCAAGAAGAAAAGAGCUACUUUACAUCUCAACAGUGACGAAAGGAGUUGCAUACGAAUAUACGAACUGUUUCUGGCACCCAACAUAGGACAGCUGAGACACUGCAGUCACACAUGUACCUGCAGAUGAGGUCUUGGGACAACAGACAAAAAGCUGGGAACGAGGUAAAAAUAUUUUACUAAUAUCAGCUCUCCUGGAUCUGUGCCUGGAGUGCCCAGUUGAGAGUGAAAGGUAAAUAUUCCUUCAUGUCCCUUCCUUUCCAAAUUUAGUUUAGCAGGAGAAAAUCAUUUGUUUGGAUUGUGACUCUUGAGUCCUUGUUCUGAGUCAUUUGUUAGAUAUUGCUUUUCCCUUGUUAAUCUGUCUUCUGUUAUAAGGGUGCCAGCCAUGAACCUUCUUUUCUCCCCUGCUGCUUUGUGGGGGACAUUCCUGGAUAGGAAGGACAGUCUUGAUGUUUUUGUGAUUAUACUUUUCAGAGGGUUCCUUCGUCUUCCUCAUGAAUACAUUUCAUGAUGCAUGUGUCCUCUCUGUAUGACCACACAGGUCUGAAUCCAUAUAUUUAGCCUUUGAUUAUCUUCCUUUUUCAUAUCUGUAAUGCCAUGCACAUGCUAUUCUUGAAAUAUUAUUUGACCCUUUUCUUUGCUAUGAACAUGUUCCUAUCGAUGUGGAUCAAGGUGAGAAGAUGUUUACAAAUACUAGAGAAGCCACCAGUUCCCAGCUGAAGUUGCAUUGCCUGGAGGACCUGAGAUGAGGAGAAAAAUGACUGAGCAAGGUGGAGCAAAGGAGAAGAAAGACAUUUGAAUGUACUGGAUUAAUAUAUUUGGCUUUAUAUUAUACAGAGUUAUAUAGAAUCAUGAAAUGUUUUAUGUCCUAUGUUUUGGAUUGAGAUAUACCUCACAUAAUGACUGGUAAAUCAAUGAUAGUGCUUCAUCAAAUUUCCCCUGUGCAAACAGGAGCGAAGAGAAGCUAUAGUGAGCUCCAAAAAGAAUGCUCCAAGGAAGAUAUCCAGGGACUUAUUAUACUUCACUUUAGAGCUGUGAUAGCAGCUUGCCUGAAUUGAGAUAUUUACCUUUUCAAUUCAGUCCUGGUGGCAUAGCAAUGUUUGCUGCUCCAUAUUCUGGAAAUAAUGUUGAUUGGGCUAAUGUGUAAUAUUUGCUAUGGCAACUUCGGCCAUCUCCUUGCUAUAUGUAUACAUGGAUUAUUUGGGACUAAACACACAAACCCGGUGAGGCAUUUUUAAAGGCUAAAUUAAAUUUAACUUGUUUUUAAAACAAAAGGUGACAUAAUUGUUAACCAGUUACUAUCAAAUUUUCUUUUUGUUUUCCCCACGCAUUUUUCUUUGAGGAUGAAGUUGUAGGGAGUGGUCCUGGUUUAAAUUUGGGUCCUUUAGCCUCCAGUCUAUCUUGCUAAAAAACUCAUUCCAGCAGGCUUCUUCACAUUCCCAUUGUCUCACAUCUAGAACUAGACAUUGCUUAGACGUAAACAUGCAAGUAUAGUCAUGCAUUGCUUAACAACAGGGAUAUGUUCCUAGAAGUGAAUCGUUAGGUGAUUUUGUCAUUAUGAAAAUAUCGUAGAGUGUCUCUAUACAAGGCUAUAUCAUAUACUCUACUACGCAUCUAGGUUGUAUGGUAUAGCCUCCUGUUUCUAGGCCACAAACAUGUACUGCAUAUUAUUGUACUGAAUACUGCAGGUAAUUGUAACACAAUGGUAAGUAUUGAUGUAGCUAAACAUAUCUAAACAUAGAAAAAAUAGUAAAAAUAUAAUAUAAAAUAUGGUAUGCCUGUAUAAGGCACUUAUCACGAAUGAAGUUUGCAGGAAUGGAAAUUGCUCUGGGUGAGUCAGUGAGUCCCAAGUGAAUGUGGAGGCCUGGGAUAUUACGGUACACUACUGAUGACUUUAUAAACACUGUACACUUAGGCUUUACUAAAUUUAUUUUUUAAAAUA